UUGGAGUGUACAAGAUAGAUAAUGAGCAGAUCGUCCAUAUUGAAAAGUGCAGAGGAAAUAGCCAUUCUACAGUUUCUGUCUUCCCUCUCUCUCUCUCUCUCUCUCUGGCUAUCUCUAGUUUUGUACAGGAACCAUUUGUCUCUCUCUAGCAGUUGCUAUCAAGAUUGGCCUAGGCUGUCGAAGAAUUUCCGAGGUUUACA
rnacentral:lncRNA from 1 species